GAGAUCAGAAGGGCCGAGUCCCUCAGCUGGAGUGGAGGAGCACAGGGAGCUGUUGUCUGUAACUUUACCUUCCUUGGAAAAGUUGGCCAGGGCCAAGUGGAUGAACCCCAGACUGCUGGAAGACCCGGACCUCGAGGGAGUUGUUUGGACAGUACAGAGCUAAGUGAAGAGGGGCAGAUCUCCAAUCUCGAGAGGAGACUCUGGGGACAGCGAGGCUGGCCUGCUUGGGGAGACCACGUGGAUGGGCCUUGGAAAACGAUCCUGGGUGACGGUCCCUGGAGGAUGGGCAGGGCUGGCUGGCCCUCAUAUGGCACAAACAUCCAUUCUCCUGCCCAGGAGAGGUAUCAGAUUCUAUUUACUGGUUUAGAGAGAAACCUUCGAUUGGCUUCUGGAUAGAGGCAGAAACUUAAGGAAAGGUUCUGGAAUUCACCUGUUCACCUCAGAAAUAGCUCAAGGCCGGGCAUCUGGAGAUCCGGGACUCUGUGUUACCUGUGCCGGGAGAGGGCGGGAGAAUGUGAACUCAAUAAGAGCAGUAAGAAAUCAGAAGGGGAAGGACAAAGGUUUUGUUGGAGAGAGUGCCUUGCUCUCUCUAAAAUGUAUGGUCUUUCCCGGGCUGUCAUCCCUGAACUGGCUGCAUUCUCUUCCCUUCUCCACCUUGAUUCCUUGGUGAGCCCCUUUAGCUCUUCAUUGUCCGUGUCUCUUGAGUGUUUUUCCCCUUUAUCCUUCUGAAGAUCUUGCCCAGUCAAGCCUCCCCUCCCCUGCCUUUGCUCCUGUGCAUGGGUUACUGAACAAGGGGAAGAUCAGGAAACUCUGCUGAUUGAUUUAUAUUUUUCAUAAUCUCAGCUGAGCCCUCGCUGUCUCGAGAUAAUGCUUUUGUGCCUCCCUAAUUGCCUCACUGUCCCACUCACCAUUUCCUCAAGUCUCCCAUAGCCUCUCCUUUUCCAGCUCAGCCAAGAACCUUGUCUCAAAUUUCCCUGAAAAUAUCGAGGCCAUUAACAGUGAGCUCUGGCUUCCUCCCUCUUCCUCAUUUCACGUCCGCCAGACGCCUUCUGCUGUUAACUCUACUUUCACCCCGUCUCACAUAAAGAGGUAGAUGGUCCUUCUCCUUUGCCAAGGCAACCCCGACAAAUGAUCCCUUUGCAGCCUGUCUUUCUUUCCCAGAAGAUUGCCUCUUCCAUCAUUCCCACUCUCUCACUUAUCUUCAAUCUGUCAUUCUAUAGUUUUUCCCAGGAUGAUU
rnacentral:lncRNA from 1 species